GCCGGGAGUGGUGGUGCACACCUGUAAUCCCAGCGGCUGGGGAGGCUGAGGCAGGGGGAUUGCAGGUUCGAAGCCAGCCUCAG
rnacentral:sRNA from 1 species